UGUUGAUCGAUAAACCUACUAUGAUCAUUCCCCGAGAUUAAUUGAACCCCUGGAUCGAAAAGUUGCAGAUUAAUAAAGAAAACAAUUAUGAGCAGGUCAAGAAUGAUAAUGAAGAAGAAGAUACGUAUUGGGAAGAUUGGAAUAGAGAGAGAGAAAAAGAUGCGUUGUCCAAGGAAUUGAAAGUAAAUUCUAUCAAGAAAAUCAUUGAGAAUAAAUACGAAGCAGCCCUUGAAGAAAUUAGGAGAAAAACUUCUCGAGUCUCAAGAAACCUGUUGUUGAAGCCCCAUUGGAGAGCGACUCAACAAUUAUGUCCUCUAAAUUCACAGAGAGAAAAAGAAAGAGCAAAUCAUGCAAGAAGAAGUUGAAAGUAAUGGCAGAAGUGAAGAAGUAUCUUCAUCAAGAAAUAACAAGAAAAGCCACAUUAAUCUGAGUGAAGAGCCAGCUCCUCCAAUGUCCAUACAAUUCAAAAACGCAAUUCUUACCCUAGCACACUGUAGUGUUGAAUAUUGUUGUUCAAAAUCAAUAAAAGAAUGUGGAAUGAAAAAUGGAACUGGAGGCCGAAAUAUUGGCCAAGGUGGCUUGCGGUCGCAUGGUGAUUUGCAGGGCCUAAUUAAAUGAUCUAUAUGGCCACAUAGGUUUGUUCUAUGCAGUGGCAUAGAACAUUUUUCUAGCCGUCAAAGGCCAUUUUUGUUUGAAUAUCUGAUGGCCUUUCAAGGGUUUUGGCACCACUUCUGAUUGAUGGCUAUAUAUAGGUGGUUGAUGAUCAACGAAAAACAUAUAGAAACAUAUAGCAACACUGGAGAUUAAUUCCUCAUUCCAAAAGGUAUUAAAAUUCAUUUUUCUCUGCAUAUUCAUAUUCAAAUCCUAAUUUUGUGUUCUCAAGUUUUGAAGGAUUUCACUAGUUUUUAAGUGUUAAAUUCUUUCAAGACUUGAUAAAUCCUGCAAACCAUUCGUCAAAAAUCCCUUUAAGCAUCAAAUUCAAUCCAAGAGGGGUAAAUAUCGUUUGAGGACAAGGAUUACGUGUAUAAGCCAUACUUUUCUAUUUCUUCAUAUUGUUGUACGUUUCUUCUCCAUGCCCUAGUGUUGUAAACCAUAUUUCCAACAUGUAGAACUGUCUCAGAAGAAAAUUUUGUCAUACAGAAGCAAUUGUUCCCUACUGAUAUGGCCAAGGAUCAAAAUCGGUUCACCAUUCCAGUGAAUCAGAUUAGACAGAAUUUCCUGAGCAAUGAAGAGGAAAUAUCUGUCAAAGUACUCGAGCAAGGGACGUAAAAUGGCUACGAAAUAGAUGAUAAUUGAGUCAUUGCUCGGAGAAGGAACUGUGAAGUUGAGAAGGUGGGACUUGAAGAAAUAUUCAGGACGUUCAAGCUUGUCAUUCGCGUUUAAUAAAAAUUAGGGGACUCGAUUGAGGUUGGAAAUGUCUUGCAACUUUGGGCCGUUCGAGUUGAUGGAGAAUUGCUGUUUGUGCUUGUCAAGCUUGCCUCAAGAGGAUAGUGGCCAUGUUUUUGUAGUAUUAUGUGUUUCAGUUCUCGUUAAACACUGCAUAGGUUUUCGCA
rnacentral:lncRNA from 1 species